UUUUUUUUCCUUUUGGUGUCGCAAAAUGGCAACGGCACACACUUCCCAUUUUAACACAGACCACCAUUUGAGCCGUAGCAGCUGUGACAUGUCGUUCUCUGGAGAGAUUGGUGCCCACAGGGACUCUUCAGUUUCAGAUUGCUUGUCAGAGGUAGAUUUGGAGAGUGGGGCUUUGGAGGGGAAGCUGCAUUUGGAUGAUAAAACUGACAGAGAUUGCAGAAUUUGCCAUUUGGUUUUGGAGAGUAAUGAGCUAGAGAAUGGGGCAGCUAUUGAGUUGGGGUGUUCCUGUAAGGGUGAUUUGGGUGCUGCACAUAAGAAGUGUGCAGAGACUUGGUUCAAGAUCAAGGGUAACAUGAUAUGCGAGAUAUGUGGUGUCACUGCACUCAAUGUUGCUGGCGAACAGGCAAAUGGGGCACACAGUGCUACCGCUGCUCUCUCAUCAGCACCGACAGCACCUCUAAUAUCGGUGGAAACUCGAACAUUCUGGCAUAGCCGGCGCAUUAUGAAUUUCUUGCUUGCUUGCAUGGUCUUUGCAUUUGUCAUUUCUUGGCUCUUCCACUUCAAAGUCCUUUCAUGAGUCGACGCAAGAGGAAGUAGCCCAAGGGACAAGGUGUCAUCCCCAACUCUCAAUUGGUUGCUUUGGUACCUUAUUCACACGUAUCCUCAAUUACCCUUAAAUGUCUUACUUAGAGGUGGUUCCACAUUAGCAUGCUACCUUGUGUACUUGUAAACGUUAUGUUGUAAUCAUGUAUUAGUUCUGGUUUCUUCUAUGUAAAAUUGUUUGAACACUACCUUUGAAAGAAAAGAAGCAAGUCUUUU
rnacentral:misc_RNA from 1 species